rnacentral:miRNA from 1 species
GACGUCGAUAUUCGACGUCAUAAACAGGAUCAACUUUGGUGUUUGUAAUGUCAAUAUUCGACGUCAUAAACACGAUCAACUUUGGUGUUUAUGACGUCGACGAGAUAAACACGACCAAUUUUAGUUUUAUGACGUCGAUAUUCGACUUCAUAAACUCAAUCAACUUAGGUGUUUAUGACGUCCAUAUUCGACGUUAUAAACACGUUCAACUUUGGUGUUUAUGACGUCGAUAUUCGACGUCAUAAACACGAUUAACUUUGGUGUUUAUGACGUCGAAAUUGGAAGUC